AUGGACAGAUGCUUCAUACUGAUUCUCAUUGUGGGAACAGGUUUGGUGACUGGAGACAGUAUUGAGCCAGAUAAAGGGACAGAAAAAACUUCUAAAGAAACAGAAACUGUCAAGUUGAGCUGCUCAUAUAGUGCAAGUAGCGCUAAUGUUGUGCUUUACUGGUACAGACAGUAUCCAAACAGAGAACCGCAGUUCUUAUUAUACAAAUAUGCACCGUCAUUGGGUGAUUAUGAAGACACCUCUAAUGAUCGAUUUCAUUCGGCUACAACACGUAUAUCCACUGAACUCACUAUUACUGAUGUACGUCUGUCAGAUUCAGCUCUCUAUUACUGUGCUCUAAGAGUAGCAGCCCAGUGAUAUAAAACAUGAAGAAUGUCUUACAAAAACCUGAAGCUAUUUUCACUUUGAAAAUAUCUAGUGAAAACCACAAUCAAAACCACAAUCUAUCCAGCUCUGAAUGUAAUAAAAUAUGUGGUCACACCUGUGAGAGUCUGCCUUGGGCCUGUUAAAAAAAACUUAACAAUACGUUCAGGGUAUCAUGUUGCAACCAAACCAGAUCUGGUUCAAAAGUGCUUAACAAAUUUACUAGACCACCACCCAAUGUAAGGUUUGUGCCACAGCUGCCCUAAACUAACAGUAUCAGUAAUUACCAAAUUCAUUUUUUCUGUAAUUGUUAAUCUAUGGAGACAGAUUAGUCUCAAAUAUAAUUCACGCAAAAAACACGAUUCACACAUGCGUAAACAAUUUCACAUGCAUGAAACCUAAUUCACGUACACACAAAAAAAAUUCACGUGCGUGAAAAAAAUAUAUAUUCACAAAAAGCAAUUCACAUGCGACAAAAUAAAAUUAUAUAUUCAUAAAAUACAUUUCACAAAUGAAAAAAACUUAACAAUACGUUCAGGGUAUCAUGUUGCAACCAAACCAGAUCUGGUUCAAAAGUGCUUAACAAAUUUACUAGACCACCACCCAAUGUAAGGUUUGUGCCACAGCUGCCCUAAACUAACAGUAUCAGUAAUUACCAAAUUCAUUUUUUUCUGUAAUUGUUAAUCUAUGGAGACAGAUUAG
rnacentral:lncRNA from 1 species